GACGAACGCUGGCGGCACGCUUAACACAUGCAAGUCGAACGAAGAUGUUUCACCGUAGCUUGCUACACCGAGACAUUUUAGUGGCGGACGGGUGAGUAACACGUGAGCAAUCUGCCUUUCAGAGGGGGAUACCAGUUGGAAACGACUGCUAAUACCGCAUAACGUAUCGGAACCGCAUGAUUCUGAUACCAAAGCUGAGGCGCUGAAAGAUGGACUCGCGUCUGAUUAGAUAGUUGGUGAGGUAACGGCUCACCAAGUCGACGAUCAGUAGCCGGACUGAGAGGUUGAACGGCCACAUUGGGACUGAGAUACGGCCCAGACUCCUACGGGAGGCAGCAGUGGGGAAUAUUGCGCAAUGGGGGAAACCCUGACGCAGCAACGCCGCGUGAAGGAUGAAGGUCUUCGGAUUGUAAACUUCUUUUAUUAAGGACGAAGAAGUGACGGUACUUAAUGAAUAAGCCACGGCUAACUACGUGCCAGCAGCCG
rnacentral:rRNA from 1 species